AAUAUCCUUCGAAACCCAGAGCAGCAGCAAUGUGGCUGUGUGUUCUCUGUUUGGCCUCGGUGACUUCCAAUGUUUAUUGGAGUGAUGCCGUUUCUGUUAGUCAGCAGGAUCCUUCGCUAAUGCAGACGGAGGGACACAAUAUCACUUUAACCUGUACCUAUCCUAACGAUGGUUAUUAUUUGUUCUGGUACCGUCAGUACCCGGGCAGACAGCCCGAGUUCGCAGUCCGGAGGCACACAACGGGCAGUGCUGAAUUAAAGGCGGAUUUUGCUCAGACCCGGUUUUCUGAUGUAGUCCAGCAGAAAGACAAGUUGUACCGAUUAACCAUUUCAGAGCUGCUAUUGUCUGACAACGCGGUCUAUUACUGUGCAAUGAGCCUCACAGUGAUAGAAACGAGCAAAAGCCUCGUACAAUAA